rnacentral:ncRNA from 1 species
AUCCUGCCAGUAGUCAUAUGCUUGUCUCAAAGAUUAAGCCAUGCAAGUCUAAGUACGAGCUCUCGUACAGUGAAACUGCGAAUGGCUCAUUAAAUCAGUUAUGGUUCAUUUGAUCGUACAGUUUACUUGGAUAACUGUGGUAAUUCUAGAGCUAAUACAUGCGAGAAGCGCCGACCUCGCGGGAGGCGUGCAUUUAUCAGACCAAAAACCGGCCGCGUCUUCGGGCGCGUUCGCCUUGGUGACUCUGGAUAACUUUGCGGAUCGCACGGUCUAGCACCGGCGACGGAUCAUUCAAGUGUCUGCCCUAUCAACUUUCGUCGGUACGGUAUUUGCCUACCGAGGUUCUUACGGGUGACGGGGAAUCAGGGUUCGAUUCCGGAGAGGGAGCCUGAGAAACGGCUACCACAUCCAAGGAAGGCAGCAGGCGCGCAAAUUACCCAUUCCCGACGCGGGGAGGUAGUGACGAAAAAUAACAAUGCAGGACUCGUUCGAGGCCCUGUAAUUGGAAUGAGUACACUUUAAAAGCUUUAACGAGUAUCCAUUGGAGGGCAAGUCUGGUGCCAGCAGCCGCGGUAAUUCCAGCUCCAAAAGUAUAUAUUUAAGUUGUUGCGGUUAAAAAGCUCGUAGUUGGAUUUUGGGCGCAGGCGGCCGGUCCGUCGCAAGGCGUGUACUGGACGUCCUGGCCUUCCCGUCGGUUCUCCGCCGGUGCUCUUGACUGAG